GAAUCUCACAUCAUCUAAGACAGUUUCAGUAUCCCUCCCCUCCCACAUCCUGUACAAGGUUUCUGCCACAUGUGUCUCACAACGGUGUAGUCCACUGGAGGUGAUUACAUCAUGAGAAGAUUGCUCAAGGUAAUGAGGAAGCCUUCAGAGAAGAUAGACCAACAAGUCUCUACAGCCAAACAUGCACUUUGACUCUCUCUACUGCGUGCUGGCCCUUUUCUUCUGGACCACAGGCUCCAUGGAUACUGAGGUCAUCCAGAAUCCUAGAUACCUGGUCAAAGGGAAAGAACAGAAAGCCAAAAUGGACUGCACCGGCAUAAAAGGACACAGUUAUAUUUAUUGGUACCACAAGAAGCUGGGCGAAGAACUCAGGUUUUUGGUUUACUUUCAGAACGCAGACAUCAUAGAUAAGACAGAUAAGAUCGGUAAAAACAUUUCAGCCAAAUGCCCCCGAGGCUUGCCGUGUACCCUAGAGAUCCAGUCCAGCGAGCUCGCAGAUUCGGCUGUGUACUUCUGCGCGAGCAGUCAAUCCACAGUGCUGACUACUGGCUUUUCUUAGAAACGCAAACUCACGUUAGGACCCUGCUCAGGAAACCAGGGCUACAUGAGCUUGUUGAGACCUAGCAGAAACACGGUGUGAAGGGGUACGAGCCGGAAGGAAAAUCUGUAAGUGAUGGAUCUAGGUGAGCUGAACAAACAAACAACAGAAAGUUUGAUGGAGACAGAAGUUCAGGGGAGGGCAAGGAGAGUGUAAAGGGACCUACCUUCUAGAAUGUGUUGAAUGUCAGGCAAGAUUAACCUGGUUCAUUGAUUUUAUUUCCUCUCCCUGCCUCUGAUUGAUGAAUCUCCAUCAAACGUGAUUAUACCUUUGUUCUUUCGUCUGGUGAGGCUGCAUGCUGCGGAAUAAGAGACAAACACGUCGGCACGGCUUUUACAUGGAACCCCAUGAUUUGGGCCAGACUCGCUUCUCAAAGCUGCUCCCUUGCCACAGAAACCUGUCUAAGAAUUGCAUCAGCUCCUGUCCUCUGUAAUUCUAAACCACAUAGUUUUAAAAAGCAACACUAUCAACAAACAUAUACCCUAAAACAUCCCCUUUGGAGUAUGUAUUUCUACAAAUUUUGAUUUUUUUUUACAUACAAGUAACCACAUCACAUUGAGAUAAAGAAUAUUUUCAGUUUGUAUAAACUUUCCCCAGCAUUUCUUUGUUGAAGUCUUUGAUAUUAACAAUAAACCCUCAGUAUUGAA